GACGAACGCUGGCGGCAUGCCUAACACAUGCAAGUCGAACGGUAAGGCCCUCUUCGGAGGGUACACGAGUGGCGAACGGGUGAGUAACACGUGGGUAACCUGCCCUUCACUGGGGGACAACCGAGGGAAACUUCGGCUAAUACCGCAUGAUGUGCAUCCUCAUGAGGGGAUGUACCAAAACUCCGGUGGUGAAGGAUGGG
rnacentral:rRNA from 1 species